CCGCCGGACAGCAUCAUCCUCACCUGCCCGCCCAGCAGCUUCUUGACUUUCUUGAACAGCAGACUAGAUUUAAAAAAAAAAAAAAGACCUAUGAUUAGCUCAAAUCUCUGAAUUCAAAGUUAAAAAAACAAGGUCUUCUUCACUUUACACUGCCAUAUUUUUAAGACCCACCCAAGACCACACUGCAGAUCCAAUCAACCGGGCCUAACCACGUUAUUUUCCCUCUGGUGCAGAACCAGUGGUGCCGGGCGGCGACUAUACAGAAAGAGGAGCGCUGUCGGUCUCAGUAACGUCUGCCCCUGACCGACGACAUGAGCAGACGCACCACGGGACUCUUUGUUUGCUCUCUCUGUGUGUGUGUGUGUGUGUGUGUGUGUGUGUGUGUGUGUGUGUGUGUGUGUGUGUGUGUGUGUGUGUGUGUGUGUGUGUGUUGGUUUUUGUGGUUUAUGAGGACUUUUGGCCUGACUUUUCACCUACAGCACGGGGACCCAGGUGAUCUACAGGGACUUACCCAAAGUCCCUGUAAAUCGAGCAAUGUAUUCAUGCUCAGGAGGCUCUAAAAUACCCCCUCUCUCUUUUUUAGCCAAAGACCCUAUAGGUCACUUCACCUGUUUUUUUGUGUAUAAUUGUGUAUGUCACUGCGCCCCUGGUUACUCUUGUGGUACUGCACCUUCAUACACAUUUCUGAUACACACGGUUGAAAAUGGCGGGCCUUUUUCUGAUUGGUUCAUGAAAAAGUGGGCGGGCUGAGGAUUUAGGGGGACGUAUACACGCGCCCCUUUAACUGCCUGGAAGCACGUGACAGCUGGAGGAGACCGUCUCUCAAUCAGGUAAGACCGUAUUUAUUGACGUUCAUUAAGGCUGUCUGACCUGGCGAACACUGUGAUAGCCUCUCAGUGCAUUUAUGACUUUUACCACAGUUCAUUGAAGAAACCACGCGGUGCGGCGCAUUUUUAGAUUAGAUUAGAUGAGUUUAGAUGCGGGUGCAAAUACGCAUGUGCGAUGCUCUCGUUUCGACGUUAUUAAAUGGCGACUCGUCGCUGCAUUAGGGCUUUCAAUUAACGACUGAAUACCGUCAGAGUGGAGCGUCUCACUGAACAGAACGGACUUCACGGCGGUUGACGAUGAAUAAUACGAAGUACAUGACACGCGGUUAGUUUUGUUGGAUCUCCUGACGGGAAUCCACGUCAGAACCGAGACUCCCAUCGGCAGUGAAUGCGGGGAACGGCGCACGCGCGCUGAUGCGCAUCGUUUAUGUUUCAAAGUUAAACUCGAUUGAAAAUCUUUGAACGAUGUUUAGAAAUUUCGCCGGAAGUUCUUUCACUUUCUCGACGUAUUUCUUGUAUGUACGAUCAUCUCAACUGUAACUCAACUUGAUUACUGUGAGAAGUAAUCAAGUUGAGUGUGAACUGUGAGAAGUGAUAACUGAUAAAUAAAUAAUAAAUAAUCAUAAAUAAUGACCGUUGAUUUGGUCUGACUUCCUGGGAAGGUUUCAGAGCAGCUAAUGAACGUAGCUUUUCAAAAUAACGGGAAAAGAACAAGUCAUGGAGCAAAUGACUGCUCAUACUAUUUUAGGUUAUUAAUACGGGGCUGUUGUUCAGCUUGUUUUCAAUCAAGUGUAGCUGAUACACUCAUAAUGCAUGUCCAAAAGAACAGAUGAAGUCUUGUCCUCUCUUUCAGGCAUAUUCCACGUAAGAAAAAAAGAAGAAUCAGGAAAAUCAAAUGAGUCCUGUCGACAACCCACCGAGACAGCAGUGUGACGUGCAUCAGGUGGUCUGUGCCACUGUAUCCAGUCUGGAGAAGUGUGCUGCCUGUGUGGGGCCUGUUGCAGCCUUCAAGUGGGGGGGAUACAAAUGCAAAACUUGUUUAAACGUCUGGCAUAAAAUAUGCCUCAGACGAACAAAGACAGACUUCGUCCAUGUGUCAGAGGUACAGUUUGAUGAUGGUUCUGUAGAUGAGCAGUUGCCAGGCAAUGGACCACCACAAAACAUAUCUGAGGAUGACACCAGUCAGUCUGAUGCAGACUUUGUGCCAGACUCUGUGGAAGAAUCUGAAGAUGACAUUCCAGUCAUUUCACCAUCGAAGAAAUUUAAAAAAACAUUUGCAGAACUAGUUAAUGACCUCAUCGGAACAGAUGAGAGCACCUCAGAUAGGCCCGGGUCCUCUAAAGAUCUGUUGCCUCCUGAAGACCCUGACAGUCCACCACCGAGACCAAACCUGAGUGAAGAAGUGAGUGGAGCAGAGCAUCAAGUGGAAGAAACAACUGCAGCGACGCUAAGUUCUAAAAACUCCUGCUUCAUUUGUGGAAAGUCUGUGAGAAAGAUGGCCCGUCAUCUGCAAACCCACUCAAGCAACUUAGAAGUUUCACAUGCUUUUUCAUUUCCCCCACACUCAAAAGAACGUAAAAAAGCAUUGGACAUGUUGAGGAACAGGGGCAACUUCCAACACAACACAGAGGUUCUACAAACUGGGAAGGGAGAGCUGAAAAUCAAAAGAAAGCCAGAUGGUGACCCAGUGAGAGAAAAAUUUAUCCACUGCAUCUAUUGCCAAGGCAUGUUUGUUCGGAAACAUCUGUGGAGGCAUGUAAAGCGAUGUGCCCGUAAGCCAGAGGAUGAAGAACAACGGCCUGGGAGAAGACGAGUACUCGGUACUGCUGCCUCGCUGGAGUCUGCAUCCCAGCAACAGGUCUCCACUGGAGUAUGGAAGCUGUUAACUGCCAUGAACCAGGAUGAGGUCGCCUCAGUUGUGCGUAACGACUUGACCAUCGUUCAGUUCGCACAAUCCCUGGUCAACAAACAUGGACAAGACGCAACAAAAAAUGAAUACAUGAGGCAAAAACUCAGAGAAGUUGGCCGUCUGCUGCUGUGCCUACAGAAGGACUUCUCGGUGGCAAACAUGGAGGACGCCGUAAAACCACCAAACUUCCCAAAGGUUCUCAACGCAGUGAAAAAAGUCUCUGGGUAUCAGGAGCAAAACAACACAUACAGCACACCGAGUCUUGCGUUAAAAUUAGGACACACACUACACAAAAUUGCAGAUAUCGUUCAUUGCAGGGCUCUUGUGGCAGAAGACGAAGCGCUAAUGAAGUCCACUGAUAUGUUCAAGAAGCUGUACACCUCAAAGUGGUCUGAGGUCAUCUCACAUGGGGCCUUGACUACUUUAAGUGAUGCCAAGUACAAUAAGCCCUCCACUUUGCCCUUCACAGAAGAUGUCAAGUUGCUUCAUGGCUACUUGGAAAGGAAUGUGUCAACUGGUGUCAGUAAACUGAAAGAGGUGGCCUCCUGCCAGCACUACAGUGCACUUGCACAGAUCUUGCUGGCCCAAAUCAUCGUCUUCAACCGAAGACGUGCAGGGGAGGUCUCAAAGAUGCUGGUGGAGAGUUUUGAGAGUCGGGAUGAUCAUGAACUGCAUGAGGAUGUGGCACUGGGUUUGUCCAAGCUUGAACAGAGGCUCUGUAGCUACUUCUCCAGAGUGGAGAUCAAAGGGAAACGGGGUCGAAAGGUGGCAGUCCUCCUGACACCAAAAAUGGUCGAUGGCCUUUCUCUGCUUGUGAGCAAACGAGUAGAGUGCCACGUUUGUGCCUCAAAUGCAUUUCUGUUUGCCCGACCGAAAGCCAUGAGCCACUACCGUGGGCAAGAUGCACUCCGUGUUUGUGCUAAUCUAUGUGGCGCGAAGCACCCAGAGCACCUGAGAUCGACUCAGCUCAGGAAGCAUGUGGCGACACUCUCUCAAGUGCUCAACUUGAAACACAACGAACUGGAUCAAGUUGCCGAUUUCCUGGGUCAUGACAUCCGUGUGCACCGUGACUUCUACAGGCUGCCCGUGCCGACAACUCAGCUGGCCAAGAUUUCCAAGUUGCUGCUCACUCUAGAGAAGGGAACGCUGUCCAAGAUUCAAGGCAAGAGUUUGGAUGACAUUGAAAUCCAAGAUGAACUAGACACCAGUGACACCGAGGAGAUGGACGGUGGCAGUGACUCUGGUGAUGAGGCAGAAGUGUCCGGUUCAGGAAGCAGCACCAGCAAAUGCAUGGAUGCUGCGCCAGAGUGUUCAGCCACAGAACAAGUUGGCGACACAGAGGACUUCAGUAAGUCUCGGCUUGUCACUGUGAGUGUUUGCAAUCACAUGGCUCAAGCUAAAACGUUUCAAUUUCGUGUUCAGAUGAAGCACUGGCUCCAGUGACAUCCAGUGUACAAGGGCCAACCCCUGUGUGUGGAGGUGAGGCCAGGCUGACAUCAUGUUGAGGCAAUAUGCUCCACGCUGCAGAGCACUUGCCCUGUCUUCAUCAUCCUUCCACUCCUUCAACACGUCCAUGAGUUUCAGGCACUCUUCCCUCCGCUCAGCACUUCAGGUCCUCCAGUCCUCUUGCCUGAUCUCUGAUCAGGAAACCUUUUCUUUUUCCUCCUUCUUAUUCAUUCACCACCAAGCAGGAGGAUGACUCCUCUGAUCAUCCUUAUCGAGCUCUUAGGGCCUCAACCUCCAUCCAUGAAUGUUCACCAUGUCAUCUUGCACUCAUCCUUUAGUCCCUUCACCUUUAACUCCAGUCAGAACCUGACUCUGAUGCGGAACCAGACUCCGCUCAAACAAGGUCCAGACGGGUGAAGAAGAAGCCCUGGUCAAAGACUGAGGUGGCAGCAGUCAUGCGUCACUUCAGGAAACACAUUGAAGCCGGG